rnacentral:misc_RNA from 1 species
UUUUAAUAUUUAUUUGGAUUUAUUGGUGAAUACUGGCAAUCUGAGCCUCGCUGAAGAAAUCUUCCAUGAAAUGCGUGGUAAUGUGGCAAUUGGUGUUGAUUCUCGUGCUUGCAACAGUAUCUUGAGAGGCUAUAUGACCUCUGCAGAGUAUGUGAAGGCAGUAAAGAUAUACAAUUUGAUGCGCCAAAAGAAAUACGACGUUGAGAUUGAAUCUUCAUUGAUGGAAAGACUUGAUUAUGUUCUUAGCUUGCGGGAGAAAGUAAUUGAAAAACCUAUUAGACUGAAGCUCACAGCAGAGCAACGAGAGGUUUUGACAGGGUCGCUUCUUGGGGGUGUGCAAAUUAGAUCAGAUGAAGAGAGAAGAUUGCAUGCAAUCCAUUAUGAAUUUAAUGAAGAGUCGAGGAUCCAUUCCAUUUUUAAGAGACACAUACAUGAUGAAUUUCACGAGUGGUUAGGCUCUCAUGAUAUGAUGGUGGAUAGCACUGCGGACAUUCCUAGUUCUUUUACUACCAUUUCACAUUCUGAUUUUACUUUCUAUGCUGAUCAGUUCUGG